rnacentral:misc_RNA from 1 species
AAGAGUUGCAAGAAAAACUCCCUAAACCAUCUGUGAAUCUACCUGUUUUCGUUGCUUCGGCAGGCGGCCCCAGGGCGGGGCCAUGGCCUGUAAAAGGCGCCUGCCGGAGGGUACAAAAGCUCGAUUGUUUCAGUGGUCGUCUGAGUUAGAAAAAAUAAAGAAGUCA